GGGCAAUUCAUGAGGAGAAAUGGAUGAUUUUGGGUCCGAACGGGCAUUUUUGGGGACCAAAGAGGCAAUUUUGGGGACAAAAUGGGCAGAUUUGGGGCCAAAUGGGCGAUUUUGGGGCCAAAUGGGCAAUUCUUGAGGAGAAAUGGGCGAUUUUGGGGCCAAAUGGGGAGAUUUGGGGCCAAAUGGGUGAAUUCUGAAGGAAAGUAGGCAAUUUUGGGGCCAAAUGGACAUUUAUGGGGUCCAAAGAGGCAAUUUUGAGGGUAAAACGGGCGAUUUUGGGACCAAACGGGCAAUUUUUGAGGGAAAGCAGGCAAUUUUGGGGCCAGAUGGGCGAUUUUUGAGGAGAAAUGGGUGAUUUUGGGGCCAAAUGGGUGAUUUCCGAGGGAAAAGUGGCCAAUUUUGGGGCCAAAUGGGCCGAUUUGGGGCCAAAUGGGCGAUUUUGGGGCCAAGUGGGUGAUUUCUGAGGGAAAAUGGGCAAUUUUGGGGCCAAAUGGGCAGAUUUGGGGCCAAAUGGGCAAUUUUGGGACCAGAUUGGCGAUUUUUGAGGGGAAAUGGGUGAUUUUGGGGCCAAAUGGGCAUUUUUGGGGACGAAAGAGACAAUUUUGGGGGAUAAAAUGGGUGAUUUUGGGGCCAAAUGGGCAAUUUCUGGGGGAAAGCAGGCAAUUUUGGGGCCAGAUGGGCAGUUCUUGAGGUGAAAUGGUUGAUUUUGGGGGCAAAGAGGCAUUUUUGGGGACCAAAGAGACAAUUUUGGGGAUAAAACGGGCGAUUUGGGGGCCAAACGGGUGAUUUCUGAGGGAUGAGUGGGCAAUUUUGGGGCCAGAUGGGCGAUUUUUGAGGUGAAAUGGGUGAUUUUGGGGCCAAAUGGGGAGUUUUGGGGACCAAAGAGGCAAUUUUGAGGAUAAAACGGGCGAUUUUGGGGCCAAGUGGGUGAUUUCCGAGGGAAAAGUGGGCAAUUUUGGGGCCAAAUGGGCAGAUCUGGGGCCAAGAGGGCCCCU